rnacentral:tRNA from 1 species
GGCCCGUUCGUCUAGGGGUUAGGGCGCGUCCCUUUCCCGGAUCAAACAGGGGUUCGAUUCCCCUACGGGCUACCA